ACAGAGGUCCCAAGCGUUGUUCGGAUUUACUGGGCGUAAAGCGUGCGUAGGCGGCUUUUUAAGUCGGAUGUGAAAUCCCUGGGCUUAACUUAGGAAUUGCAUUCGAUACUGGGAAGCUAGAGUAUGGGAGGGGAUGGUAGAAUUCCAGGUGUAGCGGUGAAAUGCGUAGAGAUCUGGAGGAAUACCGAUGGCGAAGGCAGCCAUCUGGCCUAAUACUGACGCUGAGGUACGAAAGCAUGGGGAGCAAACAG
rnacentral:rRNA from 1 species